GUCCUAUAACAAUAGCCUAUUGAGAAGAUGUUCAUCCCAAUGGCUUCUAAUCCUAUUUGUGGCAUAAUGCUCUGGAUGAAUCUCAUCUUCUUCUUUCUCAUUCUGUCAGGCUGCCAUUCAGAGGUUCAGCUGGUGGAGAGCGGAGGAGGUGUGGUAACACCUGGAGGGUCCCUUCGCCUCACCUGCAAGGCUUCAGGAUUCAUCUUUACUAACUAUAGCAUGAACUGGAUCCGCCAAGCUCCAGGGAAAGGACUAGAGUGGGUGGCUGUAUUGUAUAGCUCAGGUACCAUUUACUAUUCGGACCAAGUGAAAGGACGAUUUACCAUCUCCAGGGACAACUCAAAUAACCUGCUCUAUUUGCAAAUGAACAGCCUGAAACCCGAGGACAGUGCUGUUUAUUACUGUGCAAGAGACACAGUGAGCAAAAUGAACCAGAAGCUCUCCAAAAACUCUCUUCUACCUCUAGCAGCUGUCCACAUUCACUCAAAUGAACUUGGAGAGCUGCCAGUUUGA